GCCAUAUCACGUUGAAGCACCGUUUUUCGUGCGAUUACCGAAGUUAAGCAACACCGAGCCUGGUCAGUAACUAGGUGAGUGACCGCUUGGGAAUACCAAACGCUGUA
rnacentral:rRNA from 1 species